rnacentral:rRNA from 1 species
UACAGAGGGUGCGAGCGUUUGUUCGGAAUUAUUGGGCGUAAAGGGCGCGUAGGCGGUGCGGUAAGUCACCUGUGAAAUCUCCUGGCUCAACUGGGAGCUUGCAGGCGAAACUGCCGUGCUGGAGUGUGGGAGAGGUGCGUGGAAUUCCUGGUGUAGCGGUGAAAUGCGUAGAUAUCAGGAGGAACACCUGUGGCGAAAGCGGCGCACUGGACCACAACUGACGCUGAGGCGCGAAAAGCUAGGGGGAGCAAACAGG